GACGAACGCUGGCGGCGCGCCUAACACAUGCAAGUCGAACGAGCGAGCGAGAGCUUGCUUUCUUGAGCGAGUGGCGCACGGGUGAGUAACGCGUGAGGAACCUGCCUCAAAGAGGGGGACAACAGUUGGAAACGCCUGCUAAUACCGCAUAAGCCCACGACCCGGCAUCGGGUUGAGGGAAAAGGAGCAAUCCGCUUUGAGAUGGCCGCGCGUCCGAUUAGCUAGUUGGUGAGGUAACGGCCCACCAAUGCGACGAUCGGUAGCCGGACUGAGAGGUUGAACGGCCACACUGGGACUGAGACACGGCCCAGACUCCUACGGGAGGCAGCAGUGGGGAAUAUUGCACAAUGGGGGAAACCCUGAUGCAGCGACGCCGCGUGGAGGAAGAAGGUCUUCGGAUUGUAGACUCCUGUUGUUGAGGAAGAUAAUGACGGUACUCAACAAGGAAGUGACGGCUAACUACGUG
rnacentral:rRNA from 1 species